CAGUAGCCGCGGGAAUACGAAGGGUGCAAGCGUUACUCGGAAUUACUGGGCGUAAAGCGUGCGUAGGUGGUGGUUUAAGUCCGUUGUGAAAGCCCUGGGCUCAACCUGGGAAUUGCAGUGGAUACUGGGUCACUAGAGUGUGGUAGAGGAUAGUGGAAUUUCCGGUGUAGCAGUGAAAUGCGUAGAGAUCGGAAGGAACAUCUGUGGCGAAGGCGACUAUCUGGGCCAACACUGACACUGAGGCACGAAAGCGUGGGGAGCAAACAGGAUUAGAUACCCGUGUAGUCCUGUCUCUUAUACA
rnacentral:rRNA from 1 species